AUUUUCCAUUCAGCAGCCCCCGGUAAUUCCAGCUCCAAUAGCGUAUAUUAAAGUUGCCGCGGUUAAAAAGCUCGUAGUUGGAUCCCAGUUGCAGACGGGCGGUCCGCCUCAUGGCGGUUCACUGCCCCGUUCUCGACAUACCUCCGGUUAUAUUUGUCCCGCGAUGCUCUUUACCGGGUGUCGCGGGGGGCCGGUACGUUUACUUUGAAAAAAUUAGAGUGCUCAAAGCAGGCGAUGGCCAGAAUAAUGGUGCAUGGAAUAAUGGAAUAGGACCUCGGUUCUAUCUUGUUGGUUCUUCGGAACACGAGGUAAUGAUUAAUAGGGACGGACGGGGGCAUUCGUAUUGCGACGUUAGAGGUGAAAUUCUUGGAUCGUCGCAAGACGAACUACUGCGAAAGCAUUUGCCAAGAAUGUUUUCGUUAAUCAAGAACGAAAGUUAGAGGUUCGAAGGCGAUCAGAUACCGCCCUAGUUCUAACCAUAAACGAUGCCAACCAGCGAUCCGUCGGCGUUACUUCGAAUGACCCGACGAGCAGCUUCCGGGAAACCAAAGUUUCUGGGUUCCGGGGGAAGUAUGGUUGCAAAGCCGAAACUUAAAGGAAUU
rnacentral:rRNA from 1 species